rnacentral:lncRNA from 1 species
CGAAUGAAGGUAACGCCACCUGUUCAUCUUCAACGCUUCUGGCGACCUUCAAUAAAACCCCACCUACCUCAUCCGCCCAGGUAACUCGAAACCCAGAUUUCUUCUUAACCCCUACUUCCUUCCUUGCAUUACCAGAUACAGACCUCCUUAAAGACUCCUGCCAACCCGCUCCCUUCCCUCCUCGGCUUGACUCACCUACCUCGAAGCUCCUAGAUACAG